UACGAAGGGUGCAAACGUUGCUCGGAAUUAUUGGGCGUAAAGCGCACGUAGGCGGCUUUGCAAGUCCCAUGUGAAAUCCCACGGCUCAACCGUGGAAGUGCAUGGGAAACUGCAGAGCUUGAGUACUUAAGAGGAUCGCGGAAUUCCCGGUGUAGAGGUGAAAUUCGUAGAUAUCGGGAGGAACACCAGUGGCGAAGGCGGCGAUCUGGGAAGAUACUGACGCUGAGGUGCGAAAGCGUGGGGAGCAAACAGA
rnacentral:rRNA from 1 species